CUGUUGUAAACUAGCGUGCCAUGUAGCCUGCAUUCGGCUGUGUGUAUGUCUGUGAGAAUGAGUGCUGUGUGCGUGUCUAAAUGUGAGCAAGUUCAGUAAAAGUAACCUACAUAGUUUGCGCGCGCUACAAUUAUUUUUGCAAAGCAUAGGAGGAGAAAGUCGAAACGACUAUGAUGUAUUCAUUUGGGACCUGGGAAACCAGCUACCAGGACUGGCUACGUCGCUACCAAGCUAAAUAAACGCACAAGAAGUCGGUUUUAGUUCAAAUUCGUCCUAAUCCAGCCUGUCACAAAUAACGGAUUUGGUCGCUAUCAUGUCAAGAUUUUGACCUGCACAGAGUUUAUCUUCAACCUGAUAUUGGGGCUGAUUCUUCUCUUCAACAGAAGUUGAGCGUGCCACCUUUGUGUGUGUGGUGUGUGCGUUAAUGUGUAAAUGUGUGCGACUGAUGUGUAAACUGCUGUACAAUUCGCAAUGAAUGCACUGUAGUUGUAGCAUUGCUUCACACCAGUGUACAUUUAGCAACAAAAAUAGUUUGGGGAAACCAUAUUCGUAAAAUUUCAGGAUGUUGAAGACUCUAACCAAGAAGCUAAGGAGACACUCACUCAACGAGAUACAUCCCUUUCAGUUCAAGAUUUCCUACCAUUGCAGUGGGGAGGGAGCAGAGAGCGACGAUUCCGAGGGGGAGAACCAGGAGCUUGCACAGAUUGACAGAGAGAGGCGGCGGAACGGCGGCCUCACCCCUCUGGCCACCAGCCAACAGCACAACCAGGGUCCCCUCUCCCCGGCAUGCCUCUGUCGCCUACGCCUCCUUCUAGACCCAACUCUGGACCACCACUCUUCCGAAGAAGAGCUGGAGCGAAUCAGCCGCAGCGUUGGAGAUGGCAAGAAGUGGAUGCUGCACCAUCACCAUGUCGAGCACCACAGCAGUGCCUCCAGCGACGAGGAGGUGCGGGACCUGUUCGGCUGUGGUCCGGUGGUGGCAGCCUUGGAGCCUGGGACUUGCCUGGAGGCCUCCCCCAGCCCAGUGCUCUUUAGCUCCAGCCUGCCUCGCAGCCUCAAGCCCCCGCCCCCCAUUCGGCUCCAGUUCCAGGUGGUGCAGCCUGCUGCCAGGCCCAUUAUCUUGACCCACUUUGACCAGUCAGCGGUUCCCUAUACGAAGCACAGGCACAGCUACGGGGGAGAGGUUGGGAGGCCGAGUCUGGACCUGGAGAAAAUGCAACAGAAAAUGCUCCUUAAAAAGAACUGUGGUGGGAAAACACGGGCCAUAAAGAUUCAGGUUUGUCUCGAUAAUGCCAUGGAGAAAACAAGACCUUCCUUGGUGUCCUUUGUUAGUCCAUGGCCAUAUGCUUAAUUAGUAGGUUGAUUUUAUUUCAGGUUAUAAGGAACACAUUACAGGCUAUCUGGAAGAAAACUAUUCAUCCUGGCAGGUAUCAGACCAAAAGCAAAAAUGUACAUGAACAUUUCCCAUGUCUCAUAAUGAUCUGCUGUCUAAUAGCUGUUAUUGAUGACACUAGAUAAGUCAAAGAUGAAGUGUAUUCUUGCUGCCUAGGCAAAAAAAACUGUCUAGCUAUAACAACAGCCCACCCCAAUACAAUGUGUCAUGCUUUUACUGUUACACUUACCCACUGGACCAGCUUAAUGUUAGGUUAAUGACAGCAAACAACAACACUGAAAUAUGUGACCGUUUUUUAUUUAAAGGGUGGUGGGGGAGGAAGAGAAUACAUUCCCCAAUUUAACACAAAACAAUAACAACAAAGCCAAAAGACAUGAAUAAUACAAUUCAAAAGUUUUUUUUAAAUUUACAUCUGCUUUCCUUAUGUCUUCAAACAAAUUAUUAAAUCCCUCUGCUCAUACUAAGACAUAUUAGUCAGGCUUGAAGCCAUGACUUCCAAGAAAUGUGUAAAACUCCAACUUAGUAUUGCUUGUGAAGAAUAUCAGGAAAAACUAACAUAAUAAGUUUUUAAACCUAGAUAUUACUAAUACAAGCAAGAGGUAGAAUGUGGUGAGACCAUGUGGUGAACAAAAAACUGAAAAUGCGAUCGUAAAGGAGGCAAAAGUAUGAUGAAAGUAAUGACACAGUGAGGAUGAAUGAAGUGAAUGACCAGGGAUGCAGCAAGGACACUUAACGCCCAGGAGAGGCAGAGCGGUUGGGCACAGGAUCAGGCUGCUCCUCCGAAUGGACUGUGGGGUGGUCUGAGAAGAGGACAAGACCUAACGCUGCCAGAGCUUGUGCACGCUAGGACAAACAACGAUGCAAACAAACUUGACUGGCACUCGCCCUCUACCCAGGUAUGCCUACGAUCCCUCCAUUUUUGCCUUCCGGUCCCUCAGCACGGUCCCUCCUUGCAGUCCACUGACUCCGUCCGAAGACCGCCCAUGUGUGUGAGGGGAUAACACCAACAGACCCCCCACACACUUAUUGACCGUAUAGGAGACCCCCAGGCUAUAACUUGUCUCAGCUUUGAAGAUGAGACUGUGCUAAAUAAUGAGUAAUAAUGGCCGAUAGGAUAAUUUGACAAAGCCAAUGUUUGAAAGGUCAAUAUUGUACUCUCAGGUAAUCCCACUCUGUCAAGUCAUGCUCUUGCUCGGACAACUGCUCAACAAACACAAGCAUCUAAUACACCAAGAAUGGGGUGAUCUUAACCCUGAUAUUGAAUGAUGAUGUGAGACAUGCAGAUUGUAUGUACUGGGGAAUGAUAAGGCUGCAAUAGAAGUCUCUUUGAAAAUACACCGCUUCACUCAAGCUCUUAGUUCCAAGGACACUUCAGAUAUUUCAUACAUUAACAGCUGUCUUUUGGAUGUCUGUUCAGAAAAUGGACUUCACUAUCAAAUAUAUUUUCAAAGGACAACACAAGCAUUGGAAAGCGUUCAGACUACUCCGAUACAGUUCUCUUGUGAAUAUAAAAUGCAUCUUGAUGACAAUCAAGGGUCAAUCAAACUCAAGACAGGUUCAUUUUCUAGACUGGAAAAAGCUCAUUAGGACCACUCAUUAACAGAGGGGUUCUUGAUACAUUGCAAGCUGUACACUGCACAAUACAUGUAGAGUCGAUUUCUUUGUGUGUAUCAACCAGUUAGAGGGAAACUGGCCUGACAAUCUGUCCUAAUACACAUGAAUAGGUUGUGGUGACAGAGGGCAUCCCUGACACAUGCAGUCAUUUGAAAGUAAAGUAGAUGUCUGUCUGCAUUACUAUUUUGUGGAUGUUAUUUGAAUUGUCCAGGUAAUAAGCUACUACGGCAUGUAUGAUCGUAGUUUGCGUUAACCUUAAAACACUUAAAACAUUUUUUUUUGCUUCAACCUGUCUGAGUUUGAUUUUCACUGUAGAGGAAAACCAUUGUCCUCUUUUCCUGCAUGCAUUUCACUGUGCUGAGGUGUAGAAAAGAACAGUAUGUAAGCAUUUAAGGGAAGUAUAAGAAAUCUACUAGAAUGACAUGAGAUUUCUAACCCAUACCUUCUUUUCUUGUAUGAGACAACCAACAUUAUGCUUCUGAAUGACAUUCCUGAUGGAUUGAAUGUAAAACUGAAAGUAGUCAACUGUAGAGUCGUUAUGCUAGGGUAAUCAGAGGACAGAUAUGAAAAACCUUUUCUCAAGUGACAUGACAACCUAUUUAUGCAUAUGAAUGUAUACCGUGAUGGACAUGUUGAGCUCAAAACAGUGUUGUCACCGUAACCAAGCUCUUCUAAAGUGACUGCUGUGAUGUUUCUGUGUCCCUCGCAUUAUUUCUGAACAAAUAAACGCCCUGUGGCCUCUUGAUUCUUA